UCCCUGGUGGUCCAGUGGUUAGGACUCCGUACUCUCACUGCCGUGGCCCGGGUUCAAUCCCUGGUCAGGGAA